GACGAACGCUGGCGGCGCGCCUAACACAUGCAAGUCGAACGGGAUCUUUUAGGAAGCUUGCUUCUUGGCUGAUCUAGUGGCGGACGGGUGAGUAACACGUGAGCAACCUGCCCUGAAGUGGGGGAUAACGUUUGGAAACGAACGCUAAUACCGCAUAAUAUAUCUGAGUGGCAUCGCUUGGAUAUCAAAGGAGUAAUCCGCUUUAGGAUGGGCUCGCGCCCGAUUAGAUAGUUGGUGAGGUAACGGCUCACCAAGUCAACGAUCGGUAGCCGGACUGAGAGGUUGAACGGCCACAUUGGGACUGAGACACGGCCCAGACUCCUACGGGAGGCAGCAGUGGGGAAUAUUGCACAAUGGGGGAAACCCUGAUGCAGCGACGCCGCGUGAGUGAAGACGGCCUUCGGGUUGUAAAGCUCUGUUGCAGAGGACGAUAAUGACGGUACUCUGUGAGGAAGCCACGGCUAACUACGUGCCAGCAGCCGCCGUAACAC
rnacentral:rRNA from 1 species